GUGGUGACGUAGGGGUGGUGUAGUGGUGGGGUUUGGGUGGUGUAGUGAUGUGGUGAUGUAGGGAUGGUGUAGUGGUGGGGUUUGGGUGGUGUAGUGAUGGGUGGGGUUGUAGUGGAGGUAGAGGGGUGUGGGUGGUGUAGGGAUGGGAUACGGGUGGUGUUACCAUCAGGCCCUCCACGAUGGUGAAGUUGUCGUUGAUGACCUUGGCGAGGGGUGCCAGGCAGUUGGUGGUGCAGGA